AUGUCCAAUCUCCUGGAGUUCCAGAGUGUACCAUGGUUUGGUAGUUCAGGGAGAGCUGUGUCUAUAGUUUCAAAGGUUUUUGUAUGGCCGUUGCAUGUGUUCGUAUCACUGUGGUACACUUUUGGUGGAGGCACUAGACUGGAUGUUGGAAGUGAUGUUCCUCCCACCCUGACGGUCCUGCCCCCCUCCAGUGUGGAGCUACGACAGGGGAAGGCCACUCUCAUGUGCCUGGCCAACAAGGGCUUCCCCUCAGACUGGAAGCUGAGCUGGAAGGUGGAUAGGAGCAGUAGCAGCACCUGGGAGGUGACCGGGAGCCCUGGGGUCCUGGAGAAGGACGGCCACUACAGCUGGAGCAGCACCCUGACCCUUCCUGUCGACCAAUGGAGGAAGGUCGGCUCUGUGACCUGUGAGGCCACCCAGGGCUCCCAGUCUCCACUCUCUGAGACACUGAGGAGAGACCAGUGUUCUGACGAAUGAGCUCCUUCUCUGACUCCACAGUUUUACUCUGUUCUGCACUCAGCGCCUCUUCGUCUUACUGAUCCAGCACUACUAGUACCACAGGAGGUUGGUGGCACCUUCAUUGGGGAGGACGGCUCAUAGUUAUGGCUGGAACGGAACAAAUUGAAUG